AAGAAGUUUCCGCGUGGAGUGAUGAGACUGAAGAACUGUUCAGGAGAGGGAAAAGAUUAAUGGAAGAAGGAAGGAAGGAAAGGAAAGAAAAGAAAAAGAAAGACAGAAGGAAGAGAAAGAUUGUUUGGUUGGUUUUUUCUGAGAUCUGAACAUCUAACAAUGAAACGCUCACUUUGACACCUAUACAGAUUUAAUAAUUCUAUCCCUUUGACGAUUUCACACCUUAUAUUCACACCACCUUUGUAUAUAUGUCUCCCCUUCGCUUUCUCUCUCUAUCUUUCUCUCUUUUGAUUUCUUUCUCGACACUCAUUUAAUUCGCGGCCAAAUCUUCUUCUAUUUCUCGUCCUGAUCUGGGUUGGUCUAUGGAGGGGCAUCAUAUCAGUGUUCAUAUCGAUACGGGUGAUAGGUUUCCUCAAUGGAGUAUUCAGGAGACAAAGGAGUUUUUGAUGAUUCGGGCAGAGUUGGAUCGGACUUUCAUGGAGACCAAACGGAACAAGCUUCUGUGGGAAGUGAUUGCGAACAAGAUGAAGGAGAAGGGCUAUAAUCGAAGCGCGGAUCAGUGCAAGUGCAAGUGGAAGAAUCUGGUCACCAGAUACAAGGGAUGCGAAACGAUGGAGCCAGAAGCCAUGAGGCAACAAUUUCCGUUUUACAAUGAGUUGCAGGCGAUUUUCACAGCGAGGAUGCAAAGAAUGCUGUGGAUUGAGGCAGAAGGCGGGGCAAAGAAGAAAGGGGUGCAGCUAUCUUCGGAAGAUGAAGACGAGAACGAGGAAAGCGAAGGGGAGAAGGGAAGCAGCAAGAAGAAGAAAAAGGGCAAGACCAGUGUGAAUGUGGGUGGCAGCAGCAGCGGAGGUAGUUUCAAUUUGAAAGAAGUUUUGGAAGAUUUCAUGAAGCAGCAGGUGCAAAUGGAGGUGCAAUGGCGAGAAGUGUUCGAGGAGAGGGAAAAGGAGAGGAGAGCCAAGGAGAUGGAGUGGAGACAAACCAUGGAGGCAUUGGAAAACGAGAGGAUAAUGAUGGAUAGGAGGUGGAGGGAGAGGGAAGAGCAAAGGCGGAUGAGAGAAGACGCUAGGUCUGAGCGGAGAGACGCUCUUAUCACAGCACUUCUAAACAAGCUCAGAAGAGAAGAGAUGUAAUUCGUAUUGGGUCAGCUAGCUGUAGUUUCUUUUCUUGUAGUUCUUCUGGAGAAGAGGAAGCUUUGAGAGGUGACCCAGAAUCUGAUAUCUUUCAAAUUUGUCAUGAAAAAGAGCAUGAAGAUCUUGGAUAUAAUGUGGUGGGAAGAAAGAAUUUAAAGUUGGGCAUCUAAUUGAGGGUGUAAUCCACCAAAACUACUAGUGUCUCAGGUGAUGAUCAUGGAAAUAGAGAUGAUAUUGGGAGGAAAGAAAUGGUUGGUUUUAAUUCAUUGUGAUCCACAGUGCCAUCCUCAAUGGCCUGUCCUUGCCAACAAUGGUUCUCAACUUCUUUUGUUAUAUACAUACACACACACACACACACCUAAAGCCCAUAUUUGUCCUAUUUAUAUGAUCCUUGUUCAGUGUUCUCAAUCAGCCAUGAAAUCCCUCUCAAGCCUAGAGUUUCUGUAUAACCUAAUGGAUGAUUGCAUGUCUCGAAGGUGGUGGACAUUUGCAGGGUAGGAGAAAGCACCAUACAUCUGGGUUCAUUUUGUCAAAGGGGAGAUGAUGAUUGUUCUGAAUCAAAGAUAGCAUUUUAUGGGCUUCGGAUUCUAUAAUUGACAUUUUAGCUUUUACAGUAGGGCAAUUUCUCGAAUUUCCAUGGAGUCCUGGAUUAAUGUCAAACCAUGUGCAUGAAAAACUUUGCGCGUACUGGUCCAACAGCUGUGAUAUUCCGGAUGGUAACGUAGUUUCCUCGCAACAUAUUCUGGGUUAUUAAUUUGUACUCAAGACAUAGACUAGGAAUAUUGGCUCUCUCUUUCGAGGAAAUUAACUUGAGUUUGCUGCCUUAAUUAGAUCAACAACUUCAUGACAACAUUUGUGGAUUUGUUGUUUCAUCCCAGGUAAAAAAAAAAAACCUGACAGAUCAACAAUAUUCCUGAGUCCUAGCUAGGAUAUGAGAAUGGAUACUGUUAAGCUCAUUUCCUUCUGCUGGAUGAUUAACUUAGAAAAGGCAGUGUGCUGAUCAUAUUUACAUUGGGUGUCAAAUAUUGAGGUAUCGAUACAACUAUCAUCUAUGGUAUGAUUAAUAAAUUCUAUAAUUACUAGUUCAUUUGUGCGUGUAUUGAUGGAUAUGUAUGUAUGUUCUUCACUUUUUGGGCGCUUCCAUUUCUUUUUUGUUUAAUUUUUUUUUCCUUUGACAUUAUUAGUCAUAUUCAAAUCUUCUAUUAAUUAAGUUCACACAAUUUGUUCAAUUUUGUGGGUUCUUCUAGAUUCAAUUUUAGGUAUGUCAAACUUAGGCCUUAAUUCAUUCACAUUUUCUCUUUAUAUGAAAUAUCACAUUAAUAUCAAUAAUUUAUUGUACCAAAACCCUUUGACACCUAUGCUGCAACCCUGAUGUCUUUCGGACGAACUUAAUUGCUUGCCCUAUUGGGUCCGUACUAGCUAGGCACCUUACGACACACACUUUAGAGCGUGCAUGAACUGACAAACUUGAUUGACAACAUAGUAGAUGUUAGGUCUGGUGAGAGUGAGGUACUGAAGGGCGCCAACAAUGCUACGAUAUUAUGUUGUAUAAGAGAGAAGAGUAUCACAUUGUAUGCAGAGAGCUUUGAGCCAAACGCAAGGGGUAUGUUUUUAGAUUAUUGUGCUUUAAUCUCGAAGAACCUCAACUUAGGGUUUCCAUCUCUCUCUCCUUAUGAGUGUCGAUAUUUCAAAAAAUCUCAACUUAGGGUUUCCACCUCUAUCUCCUUAUAAGUGUUGAUAUUAAUAGAUUCUUGUGAUUUGAUUUCAAAUAAUCUCAACUUAGGGUUUCCACCUCUAUCUCCUUAUGAGUGUCGAUAUUAAUUCAGGAAAGAUUACAGAUGACACUUUUGAACAAAUGUCGAUAUAAGAAUAGCAUCAAUAAUAUGCUUUUUUGUAGUAUUGCAUGGCUUAUUUUUACUUUUUAUGUUGCAGAUGUAUUAGCUAAGAUGAAUUUCCAAUCAAAAGAAGUGUACUAUGCUUUGCAUGCAUUCACAAGUGCAGUAAUUCUCUGUGUGAUUUUUCAUUGUAGAGGAAAGCUUAAUUAGUGCCUUCAACUGAAAGGCAAUGAUUCCAUUUCUGCAUGAUUAAUGCAUAUCGUACAAGAUUUGUUUUCAUUAGAACAUUAUAAGGAGACAGAGAGGAAUGGAUUCCACAUGAUGUUAGCUAUUUUAAUGGCAGUUUAUGGGGAAUUUGUUGAUGUAA